GACGAACGCUGGCGGCGUGCUUAACACAUGCAAGUCGAACGGAAAGGCCCUGCUUUUGUGGGGUGCUCGAGUGGCGAACGGGUGAGUAACACGUGAGUAACCUGCCCUUGACUUUGGGAUAACUUCAGGAAACUGGGGCUAAUACCGGAUAGGAGCUCCUGCUGCAUGGUGGGGGUUGGAAAGUUUCGGCGGUUGGGGAUGGACACGCGGCUUAUCAGCUUGUUGGUGGGGUAGUGGCUUACCAAGGCUUUGACGGGUGGCCGGCCUGAGAGGGUGACCGGCCACACUGGGCCUGGGAUGCGGCCCAGACUCCUACGGGAGGCAGCAGUGGGGUAUAUUGCACUAUGGGCGGAAGCCUGGUGCAGCAACGCCGCGUGCGGGGUGACGGCCUUCCGGUUGUAAUCCGCUUUCGCCUGUGCCGAAGCGUUAGUGACGGUAAUGGGUAAAGAAGCACCGGCUAACUACGUG
rnacentral:rRNA from 1 species